GAAUCGAUUCAAAAUUUAUCAAAUUUAGUAAAAAACGACCGAUCCGAGGUGGACCACCACCGGUGGUGGCGGCGCUGUCGCCGGAGCAUGGCGAAGCCGCCAUGCUGGAUUUUCAAAAUUGGCCGAGUAGGCCCUGGGACUGAUUUUGGAUUUAUUUAGAACAUUUGUGGGUACUAUAAAUGCGUUUCAUUUCUCGAAAAAAAAUUUAGGGAACCGAGAGAUCGCCCGUAGGCGCAGUAACCGUUUAGCUUUUCGGCGUCAAAUCAAGUAAGGAUC
rnacentral:lncRNA from 1 species